rnacentral:rRNA from 1 species
UGGGGAAUAUUGCACAAUGGGCGCAAGCCUGAUGCAGCCAUGCCGCGUGUGUGAAGAAGCCUUCGGUUGUAAAGCACUUCAGCGAGGAGGAAGGUGGUGAACUUAAUACGUUCAUCAAUUGACGUUACUCGCAGAAGAAGCACCGGCUAACUCCGUGCCAGCAGCCGCGGUAAUACGGAGGGUGCAAGCGUUAAUCGGAAUUACUGGGCGUAAACGCACGCAGGCGGUUUGUUAAGUCAGAUGUGAAAUCCCCGGGCUCAACCUGGGAACUGCAUUUGAAACCGGCAAGCUAGAGUCUCGUAGAGGGGGGUAGAAUUCCAGGUGUAGCGGUGAAAUGCGUAGAGAUCUGGAGGAAUACCGGUGGCGAAGGCGGCCCCCUGGACGAAGACUGACGCUCAGGUGCGAAAGCGUGGGGAGCAAACAGAUUAGNUACCCUGGUAGUCACGCUGUAAACGAUGUCGAUUUUGGAGGUUGUGCCCUUGAGGCGUGCUUCCGGAGCUAACGCGUUAAUCGACCGCCUGGGGAGUACGGCCGCAAGG